ACAGAUGGAAAGAUAUACUGUGUUCAUGGAUUAGAAUUCAUUUUGUUAAAAUAACCAUACUACUGACAUUAUCCUGCUGAAAGAAAAUCUGUGUUGAUCGUUUUUGAUUUUGCCUUUGUGGGGUAAACUCAUAACAGAUUGACAUAAAAAAAU
ensembl:snoRNA small nucleolar RNA SNORA69